rnacentral:rRNA from 1 species
CCUACGGGUGGCAGCAGUGAGGAAUAUUGGUCAAUGGCCGGAAGGCUGAACCAGCCAUGCCGCGUGAAGGUCGGUGCCCUAUGGGCGUUAAACUUCUUUUGUGUGGGAGCAAUAAUGGUCACGUGUGGCCAGACGAGAGUACCGUACGAAUAAGCAUCGGCUAACUCCGUGCCAGCAGCCGCGGUAAUACGGGGGAUGCAAGCGUUAUCCGGAUUUAUUGGGUUUAAAGGGUGCGUAGGCUGUGAGGUAAGUCAGCGGUGAAAUGCCCCCGCUCAACGGGGUGAAGUGCCAUUGAUACUGCCUGGCUGGAAUGCGGAUGCCGUGGGAGGAAUGUGUGGUGUAGCGGUGAAAUGCAUAGAUAUCACACAGAACACCGAUUGCGAAGGCAUCUCACGAAUCCGCGAUUGACGCUGAUGCACGAAAGCGUGGGUAUCAAACAGGAUUAGAUACCCGUGUAGUC